rnacentral:misc_RNA from 1 species
GGACGUAAAAGUCGUAACAAGGUCUCCGUUGGUGAACCAGCGGAGGGAUCAUUACCGAGUUUACAACCCCCAAACCCCAUGUGAACCUUACCAACCUGUUGCUUCGGCGGGACUCGCCCCGGGCGCGGCCGCGAGGCCGGCCCCGGACCAAGGCGCCCGCCGGAGGACCCAAACUCUUUGUUUCUGCAAGCGGAUUCUUCUGAGUGGCUAUAAGCAACAAAUAAAUCAAAACUUUCAACAAUGGAUCUCUUGGUUCUG